rnacentral:snRNA from 1 species
GAGAGAGAAACAGGAUGUGGCUGCGACAUCUGUUACUCCACUGAUCGCCAGGGUUGAUUCGGCUGAUCUGGCUGGCUAGGCGGGUGUCCUCUUCCUCCCUCACCACUCCAUGUGCGUCCCUCCAGAAGUUGCGUGCUCUGAUGGCCUUCCCCGAAUAGCGACAGCCCAGUCUUCGAUCGAGGGUAUAGGAGUAGCUGCGCUCCCCUGCUAGAACCUCCAAACAAGCUCUCAAGAGAAACAAAAAUAGUCAGGACUGCAUGGAUAGCAAACAUCAACAAGGCGCUAGGUGUGGAAAACAUAGGAAGCUCUCUCUGUUCAUUAC